GGCAGUGGAGACUCUCUUACUAUUGUUCAUGGUGGAAUUAAAAGUUGCUUCACACAGAUAAAGCUCACGACUGUUGUUGUAGUCAAUUGGUCGUCAAUCAUUAUUGCUUCAUGGUGCUAUUGCUAGCAGCCAUAAGGAAGAGAGUUUGUCAUGGUCGAUGAAGAGAAGUUAGGUUAUUGUUAGGUGUUAAUGGUGCUACUAUAAGAAUUAAUCAACCGUGUGAGUAAGGAGAAAAUUGGUGACAUUGUUGCACUGGACUGUGUCAAAACUACUUAUGAUGGCUCCAUGAAAAGAUCUAGGGAGGCUUGCUGCUGCUUAUGGU
rnacentral:lncRNA from 1 species